rnacentral:rRNA from 1 species
AUUGAACGCUGGCGGCAGGCCUAACACAUGCAAGUCGAGCGGAUGAAGGGAGCUUGCUCCUGGAUUCAGCGGCGGACGGGUGAGUAAUGCCUAGGAAUCUGCCUGGUAGUGGGGGAUAACGUCCGGAAACGGGCGCUAAUACCGCAUACGUCCUGAGGGAGAAAGUGGGGGAUCUUCGGACCUCACGCUAUCAGAUGAGCCUAGGUCGGAUUAGCUAGUUGGUGGGGUAAAGGCCUACCAAGGCGACGAUCCGUAACUGGUCUGAGAGGAUGAUCAGUCACACUGGAACUGAGACACGGUCCAGACCCCUACGGGAGGCAGCAGUGGGGAAUAUUGGACAAUGGGCGGAAGCCUGAUCCAGCCAUGCCGCGUGUGUGAAGAAGGUCUUCGGAUUGUAAAGCACUUUAAGUUGGGAGGAAGGGCAGUAAGUUAAUACCUUGCUGUUUUGACGUUACCAACAGAAUAAGCACCGGCUAACUUCGUG